AACUUUCGAGCUCUGAGCACUGG
rnacentral:piRNA from 1 species